CGAACCUGCUGUACCAGUUCCUCCUGCUUCCUGGAGACACAUGGAGUGCUGACAGGGAAUGUCCCUAUCUCUGGGAAGACCAGGGAAGAGUGGAAGAGAGAGGGAAAGACAGAGAAAUAUUGAUGUGACAGAAACACAUCGACUGGUUACUCCUACACACGCCCCCACCAGGGCUCAUGACGGGGAGGAGCCUGAAACCAAGCACUUUUACGUUUCCUGCCCAGUGCCAGUUCAAAC